GAGAGAAUGAGAAAGAGAGAAAGAGAAAGAGCGGGCACGCACACCAUGUUCUGCAGAUAGAUGCAUUUGAACUGUGGUGUUGGAAGAAAAUUCUGAGAGUGCCUUGGACCUCAAGAAGAUCAAGCAAGUCCUACUCCAGGAAAUAAUGCCCGGCUGCUCACUGGAGGGAAGGAUAUUAGAGGCAAAGAUGAAGUACUUUGGCCACAUCAUGAGAAGACAGGAAAGCUUGGAAAAGAUCAUGAUGCUGGGGAAAAUGGAAGGAAAAAGGAAGAGGAGUCGACCAAGGGCAAGAUGGAUGGAUGGUAUCCUUGAAGUGACUGGCUUGACUUUGAAGGAACUGGGGGUGGUGACGCCUGCAGGGAGCUCUGCUGUGGGCUGGUCCAUGAAUUCACGAAGAGUUGGAAGCGACUGAAUGAAUAAACAACAACAAGCUCCUGUACAUCAUUAUCAAAUUGAUCAACCUUUAAAAGUAUAAAAAGAUAAAUUGAAAACCAUUAUAUUCUCAAUCAAAUCACAAGUACAUUAGGCAUAUACUUUUAGAGAUGCAGCCUUCAUAAUAAUGUUUAAAAAUUUCACAACUUUUAACAUGACACUAAUCUUUGAUUCAUCCAAAGAAAAAGCAAGAAUAAAUUAAUCUGACUUUUCUGGGGGUAACAAAUGUUUCCUGCCUCUUUUACAGUAACUGUGUUAAGAUAACAGAAGGGAAAGAUACUCAAAUCUCAACAGAAUUAUAGGUUACACACUUGGUUUAGUUGGAUAUUAAAAAUUCUAUUCUAAUUCCACAAAAGGGGAAACAUCAAACCCUGCCAAAAAUAGAGAAAAGCAUGCCUUCUAUAUUUUGGUAACUUCAAAAGCCUCAAGUAGAGAUGCAAUGUAGCACUGCAGUUUGAAUGUUGGAUCAGGAUUCCUCACAGCUGUAUAAAAUCUACAUUGACCUGGAUUAUAUGGCAGUGUGGACUCAGAUAAUCCAGUUCAAAGCAGAUAUUGUGGAUUAUCUGUCUUGAUAUUUUGGGUUCUAUGGCUGUGUGGAAGGGCCCCAGGAGAGCAGGGUUUAAAUCUUCACUCAGCCCUGGAAACCCAAUGGAUGAACUUGGACAAGUCACACUUUCCCUUGGGUCCUUUCCACACAGCUGAAUAAAAUCCCACAUUACCUGCUUUGAACUGGAAUAUAUGGCAGUGUAGACUCAGAUAACCCAGUUCAAAGCAGAUAUUGUGGAUUAUCUGUCUUGAUAUUCUGGAUUAUAUGGCUAUGUGGAUGGGCCCUAAACCUGACGAAAGCAACAGCAAAUGUCCCAAAAAUGUUGCCAAGAAAACUCUGUGAUAGUUUUUUUGUCACAGUUUGCAGUUGACUUUAAGGCACUUCAUUUGUGCGUGAGUGCCUUCAAGUCACCUGCUGAGCUAUGUUGAUGUAAUAGGGUUUUUUAAGGCAAGGAAUUCAAAAAGGUCGUUUUGACAGCCUUUUCCUUCUAAACCUGAUAUCUAUUGGUGGUCUCCCAUUCAAAAACUAGCUAGCAUUGACCCUGCAUAACUUUCACGACCAGAUGGGAUCUAGUGCAUUUAGAGUUUUUAAGCUCUUGAAAACAUAUUGCUAUAACAAAUUAAAAAAAAAAACUUUUAAAAGAAUGAGGCAAAUUCACUCAGGAGAAGAAUAUUCCACCCAUAACCCAAAGGUAAACAAACAUCAUAAGACGCAACUAUCAGACUUUGUCUGCCAGCAUCUUGUCUUCAUUGUUUAAUUAAUGGAUUAACUAUGUCCACAUUCUAAUUAACAGCAGGAGGGAUUUUUUUCCUGCCUUAUUUAUCAUAUGACAAAGCAAACUACAAAGACAAAACAAGACAGAAUAUUAACAUUAAACACAGAUAAACAAAUCCAAAACUUAUUUUCUUUUUUAUUUAUAUUCUGUCUUUCUCUCAGCUUUGAAUAAAAAGUAACUAAGAACAAGACAACGCAAGAUUACGCUAAAACUCUGGUAAUUAAAAAGUUAACAUACAAUUAAACAAACUAUCAGAUUAAAAUGCCAUUAAAAUUUAAAAUCAAAAUACUGGUAAUAAAGUUUAAAAAGACAGUACUCCCCCAUUAAGAUGAUUUCCCCAAAACAGCUGAUCAUCAAAUGUCUGUUUAAAUGAAAAGGUCUUAGCCAUCUGAUUUUUUUUUAUCAUGUCAGAAGCGACUUUCAAGUUGCUUCUGGUGUAAGAGAAUUGGCAGUCUACAGAGACAUUGCCCAGGGGAUGCCAGAUGUGUUACUCGGAGGCUUCUCUCAAGUCCCCACAAGCUAGAGCUGAUAGAUGAAAGGUCAAUCUGUCUUGCAGAUUCGAACCAGCAACCUUCACAUCAGGAACCCAACCUUCAGGUCAGCCGUUCACAAGGAUUUACCCCAUUGCGCCGCAGCAGAGGGCAACCACUGGGGGCCCUUCCACACAGCCAUAUAACCCAGGAUAUCAAGGAAGAUAAUCCACAAUAUCUGCUUUGAACUGGGGGCCCUUUCAGACUGGCCCUUUAUCCCAGGAUCUGAUCUCAGGUUUUCUGCUUUAAACUGGAUUAUAUGAGUCUGCACUGCCAGAUAAUCUGGGAUAAACAGAAAACCUGGGCUCAGAUUCUGGGAUAAAGGGCCUGUUUGGAAGGGCCCUUGGUUAUCUGAGUCCACACUGCCAUAUAAUCUGCUUCAAUGUGGAUUUUAUACAGUUUUGGGAAGUGGUUUGAGGCCUCAUCUAAACUGCCAUGUAAUGCAAUUUGAAACUGCAUUAUAUGGUCAGCGUGGACUCAUAAAAUGAAGUUUAAUGUAACAUAGAUGGGGUGUGAGAAGACUCUCAUGUUUUCAUCAGACUGGCCUGUGAGAGUUACAUCUAAUUAAGAAUCUAGUUAGGAAUCUAGUGUAAAGUGAAUACCAACCGGCUAUUUAUCUCUUGUCAAUAACCAACCAGUUAAAUAAACAAACAGAAAGAGAGAAAUUGCUUUAUAGCUUUGCUUCUUGCUUGAAGCACUAAUCCCAUGAUUUUCUCAUUACUGUAUACUGAUUUAUGAGAAUAAUCAGAGAAUAUUGAUGUGAACAAACUUGUUCAAUAAGAUGGGCAUCUAAUUUCCAAAUCUGUUUUGAAUAAACGACUCUUUUGAUUUAUCAUAA